CUCCCUCUUCAUUCCCCCCCUCCUUCCCAUUUAACCAAAUCUGUCAUACUAUUCUAAUCCCAAUUCCAAUGUAAUCGAUCACCCUCCUCUUCGCCCUAUUAAUACCCUCCUCCGUCUCUCCCCAAUCCCCUACCACAACCGUCUACAUCUCUCCUUCGCAGAAGGAUUUCUUUGACGUCCCCGGUCGCCAUGAACGCCCUCGCCGCCACGAGCCGUAACUUCCGGCAGGCCGCCCGGAUCCUCGGCCUCGAUUCCAAGCUGGAGAAGAGCCUGUUGAUCCCCUUCAGGGAGAUC
rnacentral:lncRNA from 1 species